UGCAAGUCGAACGAUGAACCCGGAGCUUGCUCUGGGGGAUUAGUGGCGAACGGGUGAGUAACACGUGAGUAACCUGCCCUUGACUCUGGGAUAACCUCCGGAAACGGAGGCUAAUACCGGAUAUGACGCACGGAGGCAUCUCCUGUGCGUGGAAAGAAUUUCGGUCAAGGAUGGACUCGCGGCCUAUCAGGUAGUUGGUGAGGUAACGGCCCACCAAGCCUACGACGGGUAGCCGGCCUGAGAGGGUGACCGGCCACACUGGGACUGAGACACGGCCCAGACUCCUACGGGAGGCAGCAGUGGGGAAUAUUGCACAAUGGGCGCAAGCCUGAUGCAGCAACGCCGCGUGAGGGACGACGGCCUUCGGGUUGUAAACCUCUUUUAGUAGGGAAGAAGCGAAAGUGACGGUACCUGCAGAAAAAGCACCGGCUAACUACGUGCCAGCAGCCGCGGUAAUACGUAGGGUGCAAGCGUUGUCCGGAAUUAUUGGGCGUAAAGAGCUCGUAGGCGGUUUGUCGCGUCUGCUGUGAAAUCCCGAGGCUCAACCUCGGGCCUGCAGUGGGUACGGGCAGACUAGAGUGCGGUAGGGGAGAUUGGAAUUCCUGGUGUAGCGGUGGAAUGCGCAGAUAUCAGGAGGAACACCGAUGGCGAAGGCAGAUCUCUGGGCCGUAACUGACGCUGAGGAGCGAAAGCGUGGGGAGCGAACAGGAUUAGAUACCCUGGUAGUC
rnacentral:rRNA from 1 species